rnacentral:rRNA from 1 species
AUUGAACGCUGGCGGCAGGCUUAACACAUGCAAGUCGAGCGGUAGCAGGCCUUCGGGUGCUGACGAGCGGCGAACGGGUGAGUAACGCGUAGGAAUCUGCCUGGUAGAGGGGGAUAGCCCGGGGAAACUCGGAUUAAUACCGCAUACGCCCUACGGGGGAAAGCAGGGGAGCUUCGGACCUUGCGCUAUCAGAUGAGCCUGCGUCGGAUUAGCUAGUUGGUAGGGUAAAGGCCUACGAAGGCGACGAUCCGUAACUGGUCUGGGAGGAUGAUCAGUCACACUGGAACUGAGACACGGUCCAGACUCCUACGGGAGGCAGCAGUGGGGAAUAUUGGUCAAUGGGGGAAACCCUGAUCCAGCCAUGCCGCGUGUGUGAAGAAGGCCUUCGGGUUGUAAAGCACUUUAAGCAGGGAGGAAAGGGUAGUGGCUAAUAUCCAUUAUCAUUGACGUUACCUGCAGAAUAAGCACCGGCUAACUUCGUGCCAGCCGCCGCCGUAACAC